CUCAAAUUUAAAAUCUGGCGGUCUCUGGCCGUCCGAGUUGUAAUUUGCAGAGGAUGCUUUCGACAAGGUGCCUUCCGAGUUCCCUGGAACGGGACGCCUUAGAGGGUGAGAGCCCCGUACGGUUGGACGCCUAGCCUUUGUAAAGCUCCUUCGAC
rnacentral:rRNA from 1 species